UACGGGGGAGCAAGCGUUGUUCGGAUUUACUGGGCGUAAAGGGCGCGUAGGCGGUCAGCACAAGUCAGUUGUGAAAUCUCCGGCUUAACUCGGAAAGGUCAACUGAUACUGUGCGACUAGAGUGCAGAAGGGGCAACUGGAAUUCUCGGUGUAGCGGUGAAAUUCGUAGAUAUCGGGAGGAACACCGGUGGCGAAGGCGGCGACCUGGUUCGAUACUGACACUGAGGUGCGAAGCGUGGGAGCAACAGG
rnacentral:rRNA from 1 species